UACCGGCAGCUCAAGUGGUAGCUGUUUUUAUUGGGCCUAAAGCGUUCGUAGCCGGUUUAAUAAGUCUUUGGUGAAAGCUUGUAGCUUAACUAUAAGAAUUGCUGGAGAUACUAUUAGACUUGAAGUCGGGAGAGGUUAGAGGUACUACCGGGGUAGGGGUGAAAUCCUAUAAUCCUGGGAGGACCACCUGUGGCGAAGGCGUCUAACUAGAACGAUCUUGACGGUGAGUAACGAAAGCCAGGGGCGCGAACCGG
rnacentral:rRNA from 1 species